GGCAAUAGCGAGUGGGAACCACCUGAAUCCAUCCCGAACUCAGAAGUGAAACCACUUAGCGCCGAUGGUAGUGUGGGGCUUCCCCAUGUGAGAGUAGGUCACCGCCAAGC
rnacentral:rRNA from 1 species